CUUGGGGACACGGCCGUUCUUCCUCCAGGCCCGGCGGAGGAGCAAGCCCCCUCGCUUCAGCCCUCCAUCAGCCCACUCGCCGGCUGCUACGCCAAGAGGCGGCUAUCUGCCUAGUCUAGGGUGAGAUGUCAAGCGGACCGGGGAAAGGCGCGUUCAGAGGAUAAACCAGAGAGGUUAAAUGACUUACCUGAGGUCACACAGCUAGAAAACUGCAGAACCAGGGUUCAGACACUAGCUGUCUGGCUCCAGACUCUAUACUUAAAGCAAAACACCUUGUAAGAUUGUAUGUGUGCCUGACUUCCUGCAUCCUCAGCCUCAGUUACCUCACCUGUAAAAUGGAGUUUCUACCACCAACUUCAAGAUCCUCUAGGAAUUAUCAGCAGCAGAGCAUUUGUGAGCAGCAGUAUUUUAUACAGUGGAGUCUCAACUGGCAUUCACUCCCUUUCCCAUGAGGAAAGGAUUAUUUUCAUUUCUGAGAAAAAAACGGAAUCAGAGAAUCAUCAUGACAGAGUUGGAAAGGGCCCAGGAAGCUGCCUCUUACAACCACCCUUUGUUUGGAGGGUCAAACUGCCUCCUCCAGCUUUCUUUGGUCACGUAGUAAUAAGUAGGCUGUUUAUCAUUCAGUCCAAUCCAUCUCAAUACAGGGAGGUAGGUUCCUCACCCAGUAAAAGGAAAACUUCUGACAGAUCUUCAAAUACAGCUGCUGCCAAGGUACCCCUUUCAACAAACUUUAAGACUCCUGAAUCCCUCUGAUAACCCUUCCUGGAUCCCAGCUGGACAAAGUUAGUCAAAGCUGCCUUCAAAAUUUGAUACAGAACAGAAGAACUGUGCCAGGCUGAGUAUAACUACAGCAGAAUAAAGAAAUACGAUCCCCUCCUUUCAUCUCCAUCUUCUACAUCUGUGAAUGUGACCCAAGUUUGUAUUCUCCAAACAGCAUUAAAAUAGCCACACCUGUAAUACCAGAUCUCUGGUCUGCUCUUCAACCUCCAAACCUGCCUGUUCAUACUGACUGACUACAAAGAGGCCUCUGAGAAAAUAAACACUGUGAUAGCUCUCCAGGCCCGAGCAGGAGAACAAGGUCAUGCAACCAAGCCCUCAAGCCCACUAAACGACUAAAACAAAUCUUGAGUCAAAGCCUCAGAACUUUGUGUUGUGAACCAUUCUGAAGUGUGAAAUGCCAACUCAGUCAACUCCAAUUACUAACGUUGGGACUGCUCCCUGUUUCCAGCUCUUCCUCCCACCCAGACACUGUCAGAUUGUCCUUCCUGACCCUUCUGUGUUGGGGCUUUCUCAUGAGACUACUCCCAGCCAACGAGUUCACCGCUGGGUCACAGCAUUUAACUGCCAGUGCGAAGACAGUCCCUCUAGAGCUCUUCCCCUCUUCCCCAUCCAGGGACCACUAGCUGGGUACCCAGGGCCUUCUGAGAGCAGAGCCCACCUGCCAAAUGGGAUGGAGUAUAGCCUGAGAGAGAAAAAAAUCUUUAAGUCACUGGGAUGGUGGUGAGUUUUGCUACCACGAUAUAACUUCGUGUCUCUGAUGGGCUUCCCUGGAGGCUCAUUGGUAAAGAAUCCACCUGCCAAUGCAGGAGACAUGGGUUUGAUCUCUGGGUCAGGAAGAUCCCCUGAAGAAGGAAAUGGCAACCCACUCCAGUAUUCUUGCCUGGGAAAUCCCCUGGACAGAGGAGCCUGGAGGGCCACAGUCCAUGGGGUCGCAAGAGUCAGACGUGACUUAGCGACUAAACAAGAACUCUGACUGACACAGCUCGGUGAUUAAAUUCCUUUAAAGAAUGGGGUUUCCCCUCAAUAUUUCCUAGAUCCUUC
ensembl:lncRNA